rnacentral:lncRNA from 1 species
CAUAAUCUGGUACGUAUCUAUAUCAGGUACCAUGCGGAUUAGCUAAUUUAUUCGUAAGAUUGAAGUAUUUGCCAAUUUCUGAGUUGUUAGAUUACUUAUACUCUCUGUUUCAAGCGCUCAAUCGGAUUUCUUGUUAAAUUUUGCUUUCAAAAUUUGAGAAGCUUUACAUUUGUGUUGAUAAAUUUAGUAUUAUAAAAUCAUGGUUGGCUAAUUGCACUAACUAUGUCUGAAUUUCUCUUUCUUUAUCUUGCUAGUGUUAGUUCAUAAUUAUGUGUAUGUAUGUAUGUAUGCGUAUACAUAUAAGGGUAUGCAAGACUGUAACUUUAUAGUAAUAAUUCUGCAUGUGAAUUGUAGUACUACUAUUUAUUGGUAACAAGUCGAGCAUAAUUUGAAUUGCAAUGUGCUUCAUCUGAGCUACUAGUAAUUUUAGUUAAUUCUUUCUCCCCGCCCCCCNNNNNNNNNNNNNNNNNNNNNNNNNNNNNNNNNNNNNNNNNNNNNNNNNNNNNNNNNNNNNNNNNNNNNNNNNNNNNNNNNNNNNNNNNNNNNNNNNNNNUCAUGUUUGAUGACUAAAAUGUGUCAGAUGGCUCAAAUUAUCUGUUCGGCAUUUUGAAGAACCAGAUAGCUUCAACUGGCUCCUGCUAAAAAACUCAGAACUUUUGCAUUGUGGAAGUUUAAUUUAGUACCAUUCUGAAACUUUAUAAUAUCAUCUUGAAGCUUUUAGCUGAAUUUCACGUUCCAACCUCCUUUUUUUGUUAAAAACAGCAUUGAUCUUUUGGUGCCAAUCCCAACAUCUAGUAUCUUUCAAGUCACUUUGGAAUCUGACAAUUUGUAAUUGUUUAAUUAGCUAAAGCUGCUGGCUUUAUACUAUCCUGUCAUAGCCCCUAGGUUAUCUGUGUGUUUAUAGACAUUCAUCAGGGUAUAUAUUCAUCUAGUCCUUUAUGAUUCUGUUAAAAAUUGAAAGGAUUCCUUCUUUUGAACUUUUGUGGCCUUGGCACUGAAGGAAUAAUUUCCUCCAUAUCUGCUUGAAUAGUGGUGACCAAACUUCAAUCCAACGUUCUCUUUGACAUUUUGUGUUAGGCCUGACCUGGACAUGGAACUCUCUGAUAUGACUGCUUAAUAAUCUGUUUCUUCACUGGUGAUUUCAGAGCCUCCAAAGAAGAUGGUCUUACAGAGAUAUAUAAUAGAUUUAUGUAUAGAAAAUUUGUAACGCUUCAAGGAGACUAAAGCAGAUUGGGUCCAGAUCUUAUCCUAAACAUGCAAUUCAUUUGAAAUGCUUUAACUAGUACCAUUGAAAUAUCAUAUAUUCAUUGUUUCCAGUAAAGCAAGAUGGAACAAUACUUGCAACUUCAUCAGAUAACUCAUUCAGGGUUAAAUCAUUCUACCUUUAAGUAUACUUGAGUAAAUAAAUUUGAACCUCUUAUAGGAAAAGAGAAUAAGGUGAGAAUGGGGUGGGGUGGGGUGAGGAUCGGAUAUCAAACUUACGUUAGUUAUAGAAAGAUCUAGAACUGGUCUGCUUCUAUAUUUUGACUUCACUUUGAUGUGAUUUGACUGAUUUCUGUAGUUGUUGCAUGUGUAAAUAUUGGGUUUAAGCAAGUACCACCAAACUGCUUCAAAAAUAUCUUUCCUGUUGGACCUAGUUUCCCUUGUCACUGAUACUUGGGACAUAAAUUUUCUCUUCUAAUAUAGUGACUAUAAAUGCAAGUAUAUAACAAACAUGUGUACAUUUUGAUUGAGCUUAUAAUAUUAUUUUGAAUCAAACCUCCAUAUAAUUGUGUAGGGUGUAUAUUUGAAGACAAUAAAAAAUGUCAUUUACUAUGAAUUUAGCUGAAGUUUAACAGUAGGCUUGAGAGAGAUAUAGAUAAUUUUGCUACAUCUUUAAGAAAUUGAAGUAAAGAAUGAAAACUGAUUAAGCUUUCUUGUUGAAACUGAAAUUAGGAAAAUACAGAGGAACAAAUAUAUAGCUUUGGUUUUUGAGAGCCAGCACUCUCUUCACUGUACUUUUGCAGUUUUGUUGAUAUGAAACAAUAAUGAUCAUACCUUCAUGGAUCAUUUUCUAACAACUUUGAAAUUCUUCUAAAACAAUAUAGGAAAUUUUUUGAACCAAAUCCAUAUAAAGACCCUAAAGGAAGGAGGUAUCAUUUUUUGAACAAGCUGCUCUUGAUUUUUGAAUGAAAGUGGUUGAUCUUCUUCUCUCCGUACGUGUUAAAGGAAACAUGCUAGGACCUGUUGUGGAUGGGAUCUGAUCCUCUUCGAACUCUUCUUUUGCUAAAUUGGUUUGGAUCCAAUUUCUUGUUUACGGUCGCUGGUUUCUUCUCUCUAUUUAGGUUCACCAUGGCAACUUCCUUAAGCAUAUGCUGAUUCAUUGGCACUACUCCAUGAUCUUUUUUACUCCAUUUAAGGGCAAGGUCUAUACUUCUCAAGCCGGAGAUUUUAACUUGUUGAACUGCUAAUAAUCCAAUACAGAUGAGAAGGAUACAAAGCCUAUGAGCACUGAGCAACAUGGUUUCUGUGCAAAAGAGAGGGAAGGAGUAUAUAUGCUUUUUCCUUCAGAGCAAUAAGAGACUAUGCAAGACCCAAAUUUCAAAUCUUGUUAUCCAAUACAGAUUAGAAGGAUACAAAGCCUACGAGGACUAAGCAACAUGGAUUCUGUGCAAAAGAGAGGGAAAAAGUAUAUAUGUUUUUUCCUUCAGAGCAAUAAGAGAAUAUGCAAGACCCAGAUUGUAAUCCUUCUAAUCUUGUUAUCCGUUCCUGUAGAUAUAAGCUUAUGAUUCGGCUCUUAUGGAACUUCUAGGGGACUUUAAAGUGUAAAGCUGGGG